AUUGAACGCUGGCGGCAGGCCUAACACAUGCAAGUCGAAUGGUAACAGGAAACAGCUUGCUGUUUCGCUGACGAGUGGCGGACGGGUGAGUAAUGUCUGGGAAACUGCCUGAUGGAGGGGGAUAACUACUGGAAACGGUAGCUAAUACCGCAUAACGUCGCAAGACCAAAGAGGGGGACCUUCGGGCCUCUUGCCAUCAGAUGUGCCCAGAUGGGAUUAGCUAGUAGGUGGGGUAACGGCUCACCUAGGCGACGAUCCCUAGCUGGUCUGAGAGGAUGACCAGCCACACUGGAACUGAGACACGGUCCAGACUCCUACGGGAGGCAGCAGUGGGGAAUAUUGCACAAUGGGCGCAAGCCUGAUGCAGCCAUGCCGCGUGUAUGAAGAAGGCCUUCGGGUUGUAAAGUACUUUCAGCGGGGAGGAAGGGAGUAAAGUUAAUACCUUUGCUCAUUGACGUUACCCGCAGAAGAAGCAACGGCUAACUCCGUG
rnacentral:rRNA from 1 species